rnacentral:rRNA from 1 species
GUAGGUGGCAAGCGUUGUCCGGAAUUAUUGGGCGUAAAGCGCGCGCAGGCGGUUCUUUAAGUCUGAUGUGAAAGCCCACGGCUCAACCGUGGAGGGUCAUUGGAAACUGGAGAACUUGAGUACAGAAGAGGAAAGCGGAAUUCCGCGUGUAGCGGUGAAAUGCGUAGAGAUGUGGAGGAACACCAGUGGCGAAGGCGGCUUUCUGGUCUGUAACUGACGCUGAGGCGCGAAAGCGUGGGGAGCAAACAGGAUUAGAUACCCUGGUAGUCCACGCCGUAAACGAUGAGUGCUAAGUGUUAGGGGGUUUCCGCCCCCCUUAGUGCUGCAGCUAACGCAUUAAGCACUCCGCCUGGGAGUACGGCCGCAAGGCUA